ensembl:snoRNA SNORD18 Small nucleolar RNA SNORD18
UAAACAUGAUGAUAUCCACUUCUGGUCCGUGUUUAUGAAUCCUGUGAUUUCAGUGGAAGUUCUGAUCCU